GGAUGAAGGUAGCAUGGUUCUGUGCAUAGAAAUCGAAAGGUCAACAUGUCUUCCCUCUCUGAUUCUCUGAUAUGAGGGCAUUGUUACGACCUACAUUU